rnacentral:rRNA from 1 species
UCCGGUUGAUCCUGCCGGACCUGACUGCUAUCGGAUUGAUACUAAGCCAUGCUAGUCUUUGUAGUAAUACAAGGCAUACGGCUCAGUAACGCGUAGUCAACCUACCCUAUGGACGGGGAUAAUCUCGGGAAACUGAGCAUAAUACCCGGCAGACCACUUAUCCUGGAAUGGUUAGUGGUUAAAAUGAUUCGUCGCCAUAGGAUGGGACUGCGGCCUAUCAGCUUGUUGGUGAGGUAAUGGCCCACCAAGGCGAUUACAGGUACGGGCUCUGAGAGGAGAGGCCCGGAGAUGGGUACUGAGACAAGGACCCAGGCCCUAUGGGGCGCAGCAGGCGAGAAAACUUUGCAAUGUGCGAAAGCACGACAAGGUUAAUCCGAGUGAUUUCUGCUAAAGGAAUCUUUUGUUAGUUCUAAAAAUACUAGUGAAUAAGGGGUGGGCAAGUUCUGGUGUCAGCCGCCGCGGUAAAACCAGCACCUCAAGUGGUCAGGAGGAUUAUUGGGCCUAAAGCAUCCGUAGCCUGUUCUAUAAGUUUGCGGUUAAAUCUAUACGCUCAACGUAUAGGCUGCCGUAAAUACUGUAGAACUAGGGAGUGGGAGAGGUAGACGGUACUCGAUAGGAAGGGGUAAAAUCCUUUGAUCUAUUGAUGACCACCUGUGGCGAAGGCGGUCUACCAGAACACGUUCGACGGUGAGGGAUGAAAGCUGGGGGAUCAAACCGGAUUAGAUACCCGGGUAGUCCCAGCUGUAAACGAUGCAGACUCGAUGAUGCAAUGGCAUAUAGCCAGUGCAGUGUCGCAGGGAAGCCGUUAAGUCUGCCGCCUGGGAAGUACGUACGCAAGUAUGAAACUUAAAGGAAUUGGCGGGGGAGCACCACAAGGGGUGAAGCCUGCGGUUCAAUUGGAGUCAACGCCGGA